rnacentral:tRNA from 1 species
UGGUCCGGAUAGCUCAGCUGGUAGAGCAGAGGACU